rnacentral:rRNA from 2 species
CAGCCGCCGCGGUAAAACCAGCACCUCAAGUGGUCAGGAUGAUUAUUGGGCCUAAAGCAUCCGUAGCCGGCUCUGUAAGUUUUCGGUUAAAUCUGUACGCUCAACGUACAGGCUGCCGGGAAUACUGCAGAGCUAGGGAGUGGGAGAGGUAGACGGUACUCGGUAGGAAGGGGUAAAAUCCUUUGAUCUAUUGAUGACCACCUGUGGCGAAGGCGGUCUACCAGAACACGUCCGACGGUGAGGGGUGAAAGCUGGGGGAGCAGACCGGAUUAGAUACCCGGGUAGUCCCAGCUGUAAACUAUGCAAACUCAGUGAUGCAUUGGCUUGUGGCCAAUGCAGUGCUGCAGGGAAGCCGUUAAGUUUGCCUCCUGGGAAGUACGUACGCAAGUAUGAAACUUAAAGGAAUUGGCGGGGGAGCAC